ensembl:misc_RNA 7SK 7SK RNA
UGUUACCAGGGCGAUCUGGCUGUGACAUCUGUCACCUUAUUGAUCGCCAGGGUUGAUUUGGCUGAUCUGGCUGGCUAGAUGGGUGUCCCAUUCCGUCCUCACUGCUCCAUGGGCAUCCCUCCCGAAGCUGCGCACUGGAUCCAAGAAGAUGACCACCUCUGAUAGAAAAGGACUGGUCUUCGGUCAAGGGUAUAGGAGUAGCUGCGUUUCCCUGCUAGACCUCCAAAGAAGCUCUCAAGUUUCGACUUAUUGCAUGGAAUCCUUAGAUUGCUUUGGGUUAGCCUGGAUAUUUUAAUAGUAUUGAUUUUUACCCAAUCUGUGGGAUAUCCUUGCAGUUGUU